rnacentral:tRNA from 1 species
GCCUGCAUAGCUCAGUUGGAAGAGCGAUUGCUUCGUAAGCAAUAGGUCGAGGGUUCGACUCCCCCUGCAGGCU